GGUUAAGCGACUAAGCGUACACGGUGGAUGCCCCGGCAGUCAGAGGCGAUGAAGGACGUGCUAAUCUGCGAUAAGCGUCGGUAAGGUGAUAUGAACCGUUAUAACCGGCGAUUUCCGAAUGGGGAAACCCAGUGUGAUUCGUCACACUAUCAUUAACUGAAUCCAUAGGUUAAUGAGGCGAACCGGGGGAACUGAAACAUCUAAGUACCCCGAGGAAAAGAAAUCAACCGAGAUUCCCCCAGUAGCGGCGAGCGAACGGGGAGCAGCCCAGAGCCUGAAUCAGUGUGUGUGUUAGUGGAAGCGUCUGGAAAGGCGCGCGAUACAGGGUGACAGCCCCGUACACAAAAAUGCACAUACUGUGAGCUCGAUGAGUAGGGCGGGACACGUGGUAUCCUGUCUGAAUAUGGGGGGACCAUCCUCCAAGGCUAAAUACUCCUGACUGACCGAUAGUGAACCAGUACCGUGAGGGAAAGGCGAAAAGAACCCCGGCGAGGGGAGUGAAAAAGAACCUGAAACCGUGUACGUACAAGCAGUGGGAGCACGCUUAGGCGUGUGACUGCGUACCUUUUGUAUAAUGGGUCAGCGACUUAUAUUCUGUAGCAAGGUUAACCGAAUAGGGGAGCCGAAGGGAAACCGAGUCUUAACUGGGCGUUAAGUUGCAGGGUAUAGACCCGAAACCCGGUGAUCUAGCCAUGGGCAGGUUGAAGGUUGGGUAACACUAACUGGAGGACCGAACCGACUAAUGUUGAAAAAUUAGCGGAUGACUUGUGGCUGGGGGUGAAAGGCCAAUCAAACCGGGAGAUAGCUGGUUCUCCCCGAAAGCUAUUUAGGUAGCGCCUCGUGAAUUCAUCUCCGGGGGUAGAGCACUGUUUCGGCAAGGGGGUCAUCCCGACUUACCAACCCGAUGCAAACUGCGAAUACCGGAGAAUGUUAUCACGGGAGACACACGGCGGGUGCUAACGUCCGUCGUGAAGAGGGAAACAACCCAGACCGCCAGCUAAGGUCCCAAAGUCAUGGUUAAGUGGGAAACGAUGUGGGAAGGCCCAGACAGCCGGGAUGUUGGCUUAGAAGCAGCCAUCAUUUAAAGAAAGCGUAAUAGCUCACUGGUCGAGUCGGCCUGCGCGGAAGAUGUAACGGGGCUAAACCAUGCACCGAAGCUGCGGCAGCGACACUAUGUGUUGUUGGGUAGGGGAGCGUUCUGUAAGCCUGUGAAGGUGUGCUGUGAGGCAUGCUGGAGGUAUCAGAAGUGCGAAUGCUGACAUAAGUAACGAUAAAGCGGGUGAAAAGCCCGCUCGCCGGAAGACCAAGGGUUCCUGUCCAACGUUAAUCGGGGCAGGGUGAGUCGACCCCUAAGGCGAGGCCGAAAGGCGUAGUCGAUGGGAAACAGGUUAAUAUUCCUGUACUUGGUGUUACUGCGAAGGGGGGACGGAGAAGGCUAUGUUGGCCGGGCGACGGUUGUCCCGGUUUAAGCGUGUAGGCUGGUUUUCCGGGCAAAUCCGGAAAAUCAAGGCUGAGGCGUGAUGACGAGGCACUACGGUGCUGAAGCAACAAAUGCCCUGCUUCCGGGAAAAGCCUCUAAGCAUCAGGUAACAUCAAAUCGUACCCCAAACCGACACAGGUGGUCAGGUAGAGAAUACCAAGGCGCUUGAGAGAACUCGGGUGAAGGAACUAGGCAAAAUGGUGCCGUAACUUCGGGAGAAGGCACGCUGAUAUGUAGGUGAAGUCCCUUGCGGAUGGAGCUGAAAUCAGUCGAAGAUACCAGCUGGCUGCAACUGUUUAUUAAAAACACAGCACUGUGCAAACACGAAAGUGGACGUAUACGGUGUGACGCCUGCCCGGUGCCGGAAGGUUAAUUGAUGGGGUCAGCGCAAGCGAAGCUCUUGAUCGAAGCCCCGGUAAACGGCGGCCGUAACUAUAACGGUCCUAAGGUAGCGAAAUUCCUUGUCGGGUAAGUUCCGACCUGCACGAAUGGCGUAAUGAUGGCCGGGCUGUCUCCACCCGAGACUCAGUGAAAUUGAACUCGCUGUGAAGAUGCAGUGUACCCGCGGCAAGACGGAAAGACCCCGUGAACCUUUACUAUAGCUUGACACUGAACAUUGAGCCUUGAUGUGUAGGAUAGGUGGGAGGCUUGGAAGUGUGGACGCCAGUCUGCAUGGAGCCGACCUUGAAAUACCACCCUUUAAUGUUUGAUGUUCUAACGUUGACCCGUAAUCCGGGUUGCGGACAGUGUCUGGUGGGUAGUUUGACUGGGGCGGUCUCCUCCUAAAGAGUAACGGAGGAGCACGAAGGUUGGCUAAUCCUGGUCGGACAUCAGGAGGUUAGUGCAAUGGCAUAAGCCAGCUUGACUGCGAGCGUGACGGCGCGAGCAGGUGCGAAAGCAGGUCAUAGUGAUCCGGUGGUUCUGAAUGGAAGGGCCAUCGCUCAACGGAUAAAAGGUACUCCGGGGAUAACAGGCUGAUACCGCCCAAGAGUUCAUAUCGACGGCGGUGUUUGGCACCUCGAUGUCGGCUCAUCACAUCCUGGGGCUGAAGUAGGUCCCAAGGGUAUGGCUGUUCGCCAUUUAAAGUGGUACGCGAGCUGGGUUUAGAACGUCGUGAGACAGUUCGGUCCCUAUCUGCCGUGGGCGCUGGAGAACUGAGGGGGGCUGCUCCUAGUACGAGAGGACCGGAGUGGACGCAUCACUGGUGUUCGGGUUGUCAUGCCAAUGGCACUGCCCGGUAGCUAAAUGCGGAAGAGAUAAGUGCUGAAAGCAUCUAAGCACGAAACUUGCCCCGAGAUGAGUUCUCCCUGACCCUUUAAGGGUCCUGAAGGAACGUUGAAGACGACGACGUUGAUAGGCCGGGUGUGUAAGCGCAGCGAUGCGUUGAGCUAACCGGUACUAAUGAACCGUGAGGCUUAACCUU
rnacentral:rRNA from 1 species